rnacentral:rRNA from 1 species
CACGUAGGGCGCGAGCGUUUGUCCGGAAUUAUUGGGCGUAAAGAGCUCGUAGGCGGCCUGUUGCGUCCGCUGUGAAAGCCCGGGGCUUAACCCCGGGUCUGCAGUGGAUACGGGCAGGCUAGAGGUAGGUAGGGGAGAAUGGAAUUCCCGGUGUAGCGGUGAAAUGCGCAGAUAUCGGGAGGAACACCGGUGGCGAAGGCGGUUCUCUGGGCCUUACCUGACGCUGAGGAGCGAAAGCGUGGGGAGCGAACAGG